GAAGCUGGAUUCGCUAGUAAUCGCGCAUCAGCCAUGGCGCGGUGAAUACGUUCCCGGGCCUUGUACACACCGCCCGUCAAGCCAUGGAAGCCGGGAGUGCCUGAAGUGUGCAACCGCAAGGAGCGCCCUAAGGUAAAACUGGUGACUGGGGCUAAGUCGUAACAAGGUACC
rnacentral:rRNA from 1 species